UACGGAGGGGACUAGCGUUGUUCGGAAUUACUGGGCGUAAAGCGUGCGUAGACGGUUAUUUAAGUCGGGUGUGAAAGCCCCGGGCUCAACCUGGGAAUUGCAUUCGAGACUGAAUAGCUAGGGUACGGUAGAGGGAAGCGGAAUUUCCGGUGUAGCGGUGAAAUGCGUAGAUAUCCUAAGGAACACCGGUGGCGAAAGCGGCUCACUGGACCUCUUCUGACGCUGAGGCACGAAAGCUAGGGUAGCGAACGGGG
rnacentral:rRNA from 1 species